rnacentral:rRNA from 1 species
CUAUGUGUUGUUGGGUAGGGGAGCGUUCUGUAAGCCUGUGAAGGUGGCCUGUGAGGGUUGCUGGAGGUAUCAGAAGUGCGAAUGCUGACAUAAGUAACGAUAAAGCGGGUGAAAAGCCCGCUCGCCGGAAGACCAAGGGUUCCUGUCCAACGUUAAUCGGGGCAGGGUGAGUCGACCCCUAAGGCGAGGCCGAAAGGCGUAGUCGAUGGGAAACAGGUUAAUAUUCCUGUACUUGGUGUUACUGCGAAGGGGGGACGGAGAAGGCUAUGUUGGCCGGGCGACGGUUGUCCCGGUUUAAGCGUGUAGGCUGGUUUUCCAGGCAAAUCCGGAAAACCAAGGCUGAGGCGUGAUGACGAGGCACUACGGUGCUGAAGCGACAAAUGCCCUGCUUCCAGGAAAAGCCUCUAAGCAUCAGGUAACAUCAAAUCGUACCCCAA